rnacentral:lncRNA from 1 species
GUGCCCCGGGGCAUCCGGCUCGCCCCACGGGCGGGCUGGACCCACGAGGACUCCCUCGAGGAACUUGAUCGAAGAACAAAACCAUCGUCCGACCGGCCUCGUUUCCUCCCCCCGCCCUUCCCCGGCCCGGCUCACCCCGCUCAUUGGCCCCCAAGUCAUGGCUUCACUUCUCCAUUUCUUUACGUUGGGCCCGGGUGCCUCCUUCGGAGGUGGUGGCUAAUCGGGGCACGUUAAAAGGCGAGCUUCCCCCUCGCCGACCAGUAAGGAAGUCGCUCGCGCGCCCUGCGGCACCGCUCCCCCCCCCCCGGCACCCGGACAUGCGGCGCCACGCGCGGCCCCUGGGCGUGCUGGCAGCCGUGGCCAAGGGACUCUUCCUCCUCUGGGCCGUGCCAGCGCGGAGCGCGCAGCCCCCGACCCUGCAGCAGAUCCACGCCCUGGUGCGGCACAUGGCCGAGGACGCGCGGGAGCUCUUCUUCUUCUACGAGCAGGAGCAGCACCUGGCCUUCACCCGGCUGUGCCGCACCAACACCUCGCUGGAGUGGCUGCGGGGGACGGUGGUGACGGGGACCGGGGGGCUGCGGGCACUGCACGGGGCCAUGGCCCGCAUGGACCGGGCGCUGCAGGGCAUCAGCCAGCACCAGCGCGACCUCCACCCCCCCCGGGGCCCCCAUCCUGCGCCGCCUCGACAGCACCCGCCUGAAGGUGCGGGGCCUCCUCAGCAACCUGGAGGGAGUCCUCCACGCCCACGGCAUCGUCCCCACCGUCCCCACCCUGCCCCGGCUGCCGGCGGCCACCGGAGUCUUCCAGCAGAAGUUGGAGGGGUGCCGGAUCCUCUGGAGCUACGCACGCUUCACGGAGCAGCUCAGCACCCAGCUGGAGGAGCGAGGGCUGCGGGCGCGCCGGGAGGAGAGGAGGCAGCAGCGGCGAGGCCGGCGGCGAGGCCGGCGGCCAGCGAGGUCCUAGGGAGCCCCUGCCACCCCCGCUGCUGUCACCCGAGCUGUCCCCAGCGCCCUGAGGCUUGCGGUUGGAUGCGGAGAGCCCGGCGCGCGCGCGGCUGGCGCUGGCACAGACGUCCCCCAGGUGCCACCGCGUGUGGAGGGCAACAUCGGCCAGCGGGGUCACUCUGGGUUGGUGACGUCCCCCGUUUGCCAGCCCUGCCUGAUUUUCCAGUGAUUCAAUGGGUCUGGUGACACGGCCUGACUAAGGGGCCGCUCGCACGGCACCCGCACGCCCGGCGCAGGCAGGGUGCAGCCCCAGACCGACCCUGGCCGCUUGUGCCACCGGCUUGUCACCGGCUUGUCACCCCCUGCCUGCCUCUUGAGGGGUUCGCUGAACCCAGAGAGCAUCUGAGGGUGGCUUUCCUUGAGCCUGGCGUCCCUGUGAGCUUGGUGUCCCCAUGAGCCUGGUGUCCCCGUGCACUCUGUGAGCGCAGUGUCCCUGUGCUCAUCCCUGCACGCCUGGUGUCCCCGUGCCUGUCCCCGUGUCUCAUGUCCCUGCAUUGUGUCCCCUCAGCAUCCCCGUGCCCACCCCUGGGCCCUCGGUGUCCCCAGCGUCCCCGAGCCCUGCACUGUGCGGGUGGGCACCGGUCCCCCAGUAACUUAUACGUGACAGUGGUGCAGCUCCCCUAUUUAUUGAAACCAUCGGUUUAAUUUAAUAUGUCCCUGCACCUGGGAGAAAUAUUUAAGGAUACCUUUUUUUAAUAUAUAAAUUAUAUAUAUCUAUUUUUGUUAUUUUUUUUUGUACUGUGUUAAGCUGUAAAGGUAACGAUGUUUUAUUUAUGAAUCUAAAUAUUAUUUUGUACUGGGAGAAGGGCACCACCGGGCCAUCCUGCCCAGGUGGUGCCCCCUUAUUUUUAUAUCACAGCAGACGGAAAUAAAGCAUUGACCUCGGCCCGUGGGCUGCUGCCU